rnacentral:rRNA from 1 species
UACGGAGGGGGCUAGCGUUGUUCGGAAUUACUGGGCGUAAAGCGCACGUAGGCGGCUUUGUUAAGUUAGAGGUGAAAGCCCAGGGCUUAACCCUGGAAUUGCCUUUAAGACUGCAUCGCUAGAAUCGUGGAGAGGUGGAGUGGAAAUUCCGAGUGUAGAGGUGAAAUUCGUAGAUAUUCGGAAAGAACACCAAGUGGCGAAGGCGGAACUUGACUGGACACAUAUUGACGCUGAGGUGCGAA